UGAGGAAUAUUGCACAAUGGGGAAGACCCUGAUGCAGCGACGCCGCGUGAGUGAAGAAGUAAUUCGUUAUGUAAAGCUCUAUCAGCAGGGAAGAAAAUGACGGUACCUGAGUAAGAAGCCCCGGCUAACUACGUGCCAGCAGCCGCGGUAAUACGUAGGGGCAAGCGUUAUCCGGAUUUACUGGGUGUAAAGGGAGCGUAGACGGCAUAGCAAGUCUGAAGUGAAAGGCUGGGGCUCAACCCCGGGACUGCUUUGGAAAUCUGUAUUUCUAGAGUGCUGGAGAGGUAAGUGGAAUUCCUAGUGUAGCGGUGAAAUGCGUAGAUAUUAGGAGGAACACCAGUGGCGAAGGCGGCUUACUGGACGAUAACUGACGUUGAGGCUCGAAAGCGUGGGGAGCAAACAGGAUUAGAUACCC
rnacentral:rRNA from 1 species